rnacentral:rRNA from 1 species
UUACAUCAGCAGUCAUCUCCGUGAUAGAGUGUGGCCUUGGCCUCAAGCCUUCGGGCAAAGGGGCUCGCUUGGACAUCCUCCAAAACCUAGUGGCUAAUACACGGUCGAAGAGCAUCUGCCGCGUCCGUGGUGCCCUGCUGUGGUAUCCCCACACUGGGCCCCGGUGGUGGAUUGCACCCAGCCGCUGAGAAGACCAGCGCCUGGAACAUGGCAGUGAGUAUGAAGCUGACUCAGGCUGGUCCUUCGGGACCGCUGCGCUGGCAGAGUGGUGGCCCUCGGGUCACAGCAUUGCUUGAUCACACGAACUUCUGACCUAUCAGCCUUGACUGUGGUGUCGUGGACCACAGUGGCAGUGACGGGUGACGGAGAAUCAGGGUUCGAUUCCGGAGAGGGAGCCUGAGAUACGGCUACCACUACCAAGGUGGGCAGCAGGCACGCAAAUUGCCCAAUCCGAAGACCUCCUCGUGAGGCAGCGACGAACUGCAGCAAUCCUGCUUGCCUCUAUGGCGAGUGGGACUUGGAAUGGAUGCUAUCCAAACACAGUGAUGAGUAUCAACUGGAGGGCAAGUCUGGUGCCAGCAGCUGCGGUAAUUCCAGCUCCAAGCGUGUAUACUAACAUUGCUGCUGUUAAAACACUUGUAGUCUGAUGCUGGGUGCAGGUCUGCCAGGUGGCCGAUGCUGGGGUGAGGGCUUGCUGGGCUCCGGUCUGGUGGGUCCGAGCUCCGCUCGGAACAAAACCCCUGGUAGAAUGCUCCUGUGCCCGUGUCAACGAUGGUGUGAUCUGCUCCUGCUCCAAGUCUCCUUCAGUGGGGAUCGAUGCGGGCUCAUGCCCAACGCUCGUGUGCUUGACACCUGGGACAUUGCUCCAUGCAGUGCUCUUCCCUGUCCACCACCGGAGUCCACCAUCUGAGACACCGUGGAAAACUCAGUGUGCUCCAAGCGUCCACUCGGCUGGAUGCCCGUCCAUGGAAUGUCAAAGCAUCGACCUGAUGUGGCUGUGAAGUUGUGCUGGCCUUGGUGCCCAAUCAGGGGAACCUGGUGGUGCCUCCCCUGGCAUGCCUGGGUGUACUCUUUCUGAGGAAACCCAGCUGCCAGUGGGCUCGGCAUCACCAUGCGACCUCGAUGGGACAGCUCUGGGUGAAGGAUACCGUGGCGCCAGAGGUGAAAUUCUUAGACCGCUGCGAGAUCAUCGGCAGCGAAGGCGCUCUGCAAGUGCUUGUUNGUCGAUCAAGAAUGAGAGUGUGGGGAGCGAAGAUGAUCAGAUACCGUCGUAGUCCACAACUGUGAACGAUGCCGGCCCGGUGCCGGGGGUGAAAUGUCUCCGAGACUCCCCCAGCGCCACUCCCCCUACAACGAGAAAUCCGAGCCUUCGGGUUCAGGGGGGAGUACGGUCGCAAGGCUGAAACUUAAAGGAAUUGACGGAAUGGCACCACCAGGCGUGGAGUAUGCGGCUUAAUUUGACUCAACACGGGGAAUGUUACCAGGUCAGGACGAUGUCUGGAUGGACAGAUUGAGAGCUCUUUCCUGAUCCCUCGGANGGUGGUGCAUGGCCGCUCCUGAUUGGUGGAGUGAUUUGUCUGGUUGAUUCCGAUAACGAGUGAGAUCUCUGCCUCCCAGUAGCCUCAGCCUCGCUUGUAGGGCGGAUCCAGUUUGGGCCUUCGGGUCCUGCUGUGGUUGCCCGAGAGGACUGGGCCAAGCUUCUCUGAGGUGCUGUGUGCGCUACCAAGCACAUGCAUGCUAGAGCCAACAGCAGGUCUGUGAUGCUCCCAGAUGUCCUGGGCCGCACGCGCACUACAUUGGCCAGGCGAAAAGGUCGCCUCCCCCUGCUCUCGCAGGUCCUGCCCUGAAGAGGAUGGGAAAUCCUCUGAGCCCUGUCCGUACUGGGGAUAGAUGCUUGCAACUGUCUGCCUUGAACGAGGAAUGCCUAGUAUGCGCAGGUCAUCAGCCGCACCGA